CAAAGUAUAGUUUAUAUAAAACCCCUUGCUUACACCAAGAAGUCACCUGUGCGACCCUGGUUACUUUGA
rnacentral:tRNA from 1 species